rnacentral:tRNA from 1 species
GGUGCCGUAGCCAAGUGGUAAGGCAAGGGUCUGCAAAACCCUUAUACGUGGGUUCGAUUCUCACCGGCACCUCCA